CACGUAGGGCGCAAGCGUUGUCCGGAAUUAUUGGGCGUAAAGAGCUCGUAGGCGGUCUGUUGCGUCCGCUGUGAAAACUCGGGGCUUAACCCCGAGCCUGCAGUGGAUACGGGCAGACUAGAGGUAGGUAGGGGAGAAUGGAAUUCCCGGUGUAGCGGUGAAAUGCGCAGAUAUCAGGAGGAACACCGAUGGCGAAGGCAGGUCUCUGGGCCACUACUGACGCUGAGAAGCGAAAGCGUGGGGGAGCAAAACAGG
rnacentral:rRNA from 1 species